CACGUAGGGGCCAAGCGUUGUCCGGAUUUAUUGGGCGUAAAGGGCGCGUAGGCGGCCCGCUAAGUCGAACGUGAAAUCCCCGAGCUCAACUCGGGAACUGCGUCCGAUACUGGCGGGCUUGAAUCCGGGAGAGGGAUGUGGAAUUCCAGGUGUAGCGGUGAAAUGCGUAGAUAUCUGGAGGAACACCGGUGGCGAAGGCGGCAUCCUGGACCGACACUGACACUGAGGAGCGAAAGCCAGGGGAGCAAACGGG
rnacentral:rRNA from 1 species